GGAAAUUUAAGAGCAUAUGGUGGAUGCCUUGACUCUAAGAGGCGAUGAAGGACGUAGCGUAGCUGCGAUAAGCUUCGGGGAGGUGCCUAGCAACCUUUGAUCCGGAGAUCUCCGAAUGGGGAAACCUAUUCCGAUGCAAAUCGGAAUCUUCUGGCGCAAGUCAGAGAGCGUACCCAGGGAAGUAAAACAUUUCAGUACCUGGUGGAAAAUAAAACAAUGUCGCGUAAGCGACGACAUUUCCUUAGUAGUGGCGAGCGAAAAGGAAAUAGCCCAGAUCGGUCGCGCCUCGUUGGAUUCGUCACGACAGCUUUUAGUUUUUAGCUAUCAGCUUUUAGCUUUCAAAUUCAGGAAGCUAACAGUCAGAAGCUUACAGCUAUUAGUCUGCAGUGCCGAGGACAGCGAGGCGCGACUGAAGUAGUAAGGCGGCAACUUCAUUAUUUAUAAUGAGAAAAGUUACAAAAUAUUUCGUUAGCAGAAUUUGCUGGGAAGCAAAGCCCUAGAGGGUAAUAGCCCCGUAAGUGAAAAUGAAAUAUCUUUUCCGUUGCCGUUCUUGAGUACCUCAAGACACGAAUGGCUUGGGGGAAUCUGCCGGAACUAACCGGUAAGGCUAAAUACUCUUAGAGAUCGAUAGUGAACAAGUACCGUGAGGGAAAGGUGAAAAGCAGCCCGGUAAGGGCGGUGAAAUAGACCUGAAACCAUAUGCUUACAAGGAGUCGGAGUCCCUCACCAAUUUUGUGUUGUAGAAUUUUUCUAGAACCCAAAAUUGGUGAGUGGAUCACGGCGUGCCUAUUGAAGAAUGAGCCAACGAGUUGAUGUAAGCUGCUUAGCUAAGCCCCCAAAGGGUGGAGCUGUAGGGAAACCGAGUGUGAAUAGCGCGUUUGUAGUAUACAUCAGACCCGAAGCCAAGUGAGCUUGCCAUGAGCAGGGUGAAUCCCGACGAAAGUCGGGAGGAGGCCCGAACCGGUUAGCCGUGCAAUACUAUCGGAUGACUUGUGGUAAGAAGUGAAAAGCUAAUCGAACUUGGUAAUAGCUGGUUCUCUCCGAAAUAGCUUUUGGGCUAGCGUCUGGAUUACCUUUUGGGGGUAGAGCACUGGAUGGUCUAAACAGGGAGAAAUCUCAUUAGACCAAUCAAACUCCGAAUACCAGAAGUAAACUUCCAGGCAGUUAGACCGUGGGGGCUAAGCUCCAUUGGUCAAAAGGGAAACAGCCCGGAUCUCAACUUAAGGUCCCUAAAUCUACGCUAAGUACGCUUGAGGUGGUGGAAUUUCACAGACAGUGAGGAUGUUGGCUUAGAAGCAGCCAUCAUUUAAAGAUAGCGUAACAGCUCACUCACUAAGAGAUUCUGCGCCGCAGAUAAUCGGGGUUAAGCAUAGUACCGAAAUUGAGGAUGUCAUUUUGCUUCGGCAGAAUGGCGUGGUAGGAGAGUAUUCUCAUCGCGAUGAAGCCAAAGGCGCGAGCCAUGGUGGAGCGUUGAGAAGUAAGAAUGUUGGCACAAGUAACCACAAUGCGGGUGAGAACCCCGCACGCCGAAAGACCAAGGUUUCCUUGGCGAUGUCAAUCAGCCAAGGGUUAGUCGGGCCUAAGGGGAUGGCGAAAGCCGCACCCGAUGGACACAUGGUUAAUAUUCCAUGACUUUUAUGUGUUGUGACGGGAGGACGGAGUCUAGUAUGUUUUGCGCAUUAUUGGAUUUGCGUUCGUGUCGCAAGAAGGGCUUCCAGGAAAAUCCGGAAGCGAGCCGUAAGAAGGCACCCUCCAAGCGAAGCGAAAAUUUGCCGGUUCGCCGGUGAAAAUAAAACAAAGCAGACUCUCAAGAAAAUUCUCUAAACUUAAAUACAUAAAAUCCGUACCGCAAACCGACACAGGUGGUCAGCUCGAGUAGAGCAAGGCGAACGAGUGAGAGGUCCCCAAGGAACUCGGCAAAAAAGCAGCCGUAACUUCGGAAUAAGGCUUCCCCUCACCAAUUUUGGGCUAUAAUUGCAAAAUGUAUUAUGUGUAUCUGAUUCAGCAUGACCUUUCGAGAGAAAUCUAUAUCGGUUUAACAACUGAUCCGAAAGAGCGAUUGCGAACGCACAAUGGCAAAGGUAAAAAAUUUACUACCAGAAAAUCUGGCAUGUGGCAUUUUAUUUACCUUGAGCUCUUUCGUUCACAGCAAGACGCUAUCGAUCGCGAGAAAAAACUGAAAGGUCACGCAAAAGGAAAACACGAACUUCUCAAGCGACUAAAAUAUAGUUUGCUUGAGCCCAAAAUUGGUGAGGGGCGCAGCUAAAGUAUCUCUGGCAACUGUUUAUCAAAAACACAGCUCCCUGCGAACUCGCAAGAGGAUGUAUAGGGGGUGACACUUGACCAAUGCCAGAAGGUCAAACAACGACGGUGCCAAGCACCACUUUUGACGGAAUAUCAAUGUGAUUAUUUUAAAGUUUAUUUGGAAAAUAUUUUAAAGUUAUUACAAAAAGUAUUAUUUCAAAAGUGGUGCUCGGUGCUGAUUGUUGUAAGCCCUGGUGAAUGUCGGCCGUAACUAUAGAUUUGACCGUUGUAGUUACGCUAAAAAAUCUUGCUAUAUGCUGGAAACUCUGGUCCAUCAUUUAUUUAAAAAUAAGUGAUGGAAAAAAGUGUUCAUUAUUACUCGCUUUCAUCGAAAAGCAGUGACAAUAUAAUGACGCAGACAAUCAGCAGGAAAGACUUCUUUUGUAAUCAAAAGUAAAUAUGAAUUGGUUAAGCCAAAUCAAACCGGAUAUGGGAAACUAUAUCGCGGGAUUCACUGACGGCGAAGGAAGCUUCAAUGUUUCAGUGAAAAAGAGAAUUGAUUACAGAGAUCAAUGGAAAUUGACCGCUUCGUUCAAUAUUUCUCAAAAAGAUCGCGUCAUUCUGGCUCUUAUUAAAAAAGAGAUUGGAUGUGGGACUUUGCGAGAAAGAAAAGACGGGGUUGUUUAUUAUGAAGUGACCAAUAUCACUUCUCUGAAAGAAAGAAUAAUCCCGUUUUUUAAACGGUUCGGAUUUCUUUCAGUGCGAAAAAAGACAAAUUUUUCUAUUUUCUCUUCUAUUGUUGAGAAAAUGGCAGACGGAGAACAUCUGACAGAAGAAGGUUUUCAGAAAAUUCUUGAACUAAGAGAAAUUCUUAAUGAGGGAAAAGGAAGAAAACGAAAAUAUAAUUUAUCAGAUUGCGUAUCAAAAGAAGAAUCCUCAGAGACUAUACGCAAGACGGUUUCAAAUUAAUUGAAUGUCGACGAUUUGAAGACGAUGAUAUAGUCCGAUCUCUCUAGCGAUAGAGAGUUAACAAAUAGUUAAAAUUGAUAAACAGAGACUGCUAAGUUGAAGCAUUGUUUGGUGCUAAGCUACAAAAUAUAAACGGUCCUAAGGUAGCGAAAUUCCUUGUCAGGUAAGUUCUGACGCGCACGAAUAGUGUAAUGACUGGAGAACUGUCUCGGGGGCUUGCUCGGUGAAAAUACAAUACCGGUGAAGAUGCCGGUUACCUGCAGCUAGACGAAAAGACCCUAGGAGCUUUACUGCAAUUUUAUAUUGAGUGUAUGUUUCAACUGCGUAGCGUAGACGGGAGACUUUGAAGUUUCGUUCUCGGACGAAAUGGAGUCGCCGAUGAAACACCGUUCUUUUGUGAUAUGCAUUCUAAUCCGCGCGGCAAAAACGCGCGGCGACAGUAUAUGAUGGGCAGUUUUAGUGGGGCGCUAUCCUCCUAAAAAGUAACGGAGGAGCCUAUUAAGGUUGGCUAAGCGCGAAUGGAAACCGUGCUGAUAGUGUAAUGGCACAAGCCAGCUUGACUGCAAGGCGUACUUGCCGAGCAGGCGCGAAAGCGGAGCAUAGUGAACCGACGGCCCGCAUUAGACGCGGCCAAAGAUUAUCGGACAAAAGCUACCCUAGGGAUAACAGGCUGGUAGUGCCUAAGAGUUCAUAUCGACGGCACUGUUCGGCACCUCGAUGUCGGCUCAACUUAUCCUGGGGCUGGAGAAGGUCCCAAGGGUUUGGCUGUUCGCCAAUUAAAAAGUUACGCGAGCUGGGUUCAGACCGUUCAGCGGCGAAUCAAACAAUUCGCAAUUGGACAGUCUGAAUCCCAUCGAAUUAUUUUCGUUUAAAACAAAUAUGGAUUCAAGAUUCAUAUUUAUAGAAGAUAGGAAUAGUAUGAUCAAUCAAUCACGGCGGUCGCGCAGCGAAAUCUGCGCUGAUCAAGUCGAUUAAUUUCGGGAGAAUCCCCGCAUUUAGAUAAUGCGAGGACGAUACCGAGGGAAGAGGGCAGAAAAGUAAAACUUUGUCGCGAGUACGCGACAUAAGUGUCCGCUCAGUGUACCCUGAGCUCCCCUUACCCGUAGAGACUAAACAUCGACGCUCUUUUUUCGGCAGGUUUGUCGGAAGAAGAACAAGCUAUAGUCCAAUGCAUCUGGCAACAGGUGAAAUCAUGCGUGAGACAGGUUGGUCUCCUAUCUACUGCAGGCGUUGAUUCUUGAGGGGAUUUGACUCUAGUACGAGAGGACCGAGUUGAACUGACCUCUGGUCUGCCUGCUGUCGUGCCAACGGCACCGCAGGGCAGCUAUGUCGGGAAUGGAUAACCGCUGAAAGCAUCUAAGCGGGAAGCCAACCCCAAGAUUAGGAAUCGUUAUGAGACCCGUGAGAGAUGAUCACGUCGAUAGGCUUUAGGUGUAAGUGCUGUAAAGCAUUGAGCCAUGAAGUACUAAUCCGUCCAUUUCGUCCGG
rnacentral:rRNA from 1 species